rnacentral:rRNA from 1 species
UACGUAGGGUGCAAGCGUUGUCCGGAAUUAUUGGGCGUAAAGAGCUCGUAGGCGGUCUGUUACGUCGGCUGUGAAAACCUGGGGCUCAACCCCGGGCCUGCAGCCGAUACGGGCAGACUAGAAUUCGGUAGGGGAGACGUGGAAUUCCUGGUGUAGCGGUGAAAUGCGCAGAUAUCUGGAGGAACACCGGUGGCGAAGGCGGCAUCCUGGACCGGCAUUGACGCUGAGGCGCGAAAGCCAGGGGAGCAAAGCGGG